AAGUGAUUCAGUCGCCUCGGUAAAUGGAGGGUCAGAAAGCUAUUCAGCCUCCGUGAAAGAAGAAGGGUCAGAUCUCGAUUUUCAAGUACAAUACAAACGAAGUCAGGGAUCAGAUUCUAGCUGUUGGAGAGUCUUUCUCACAUGGGACAACCAGAUAGUUUCUCCGUGCUAAGGUUCUUCGAUCCGUCAAAGAUUGAAUAACAAAAAAACAAAGAACUUAGUCAGGCUCUAUAGUGGAAAUUUAUUCUACAAAGAACAAAUUUCUUGCCAAGAGCAAAUGAGAGGUCAUGUAUCUAUCAGCUGCACAUAGCAACAUUUUCAGAGUCGAUUUUCUAGCCAAGGGCAUAUGAGUGGUCAGCAAUCACGUGGCAAUUCAUAUCUCAAUUAAUUUGGAGACAGGAACAUUGAUUUGUAUUCUUCGUUAACUCAUUAUCCGUCAAGAUUAAAAGUAGAAAAUAUCAGCAACCAGUCAGAUUUUGGAUCUGUGAAAUUGUGGUUCAAUAGCCAAGAGAAAAUGAGGGGUUUUGUUAACUGCUUCAUGGAGAUAUCUUUGAGGUCCAAAGAACAAAAAUUUCGAAGGUAAAACAUGUGGGAGGUCAGAUAUCUUUCUCUUUACUCUCAUGUCAAUUGUGUCAUGCAUAGCUAUCUUGGCUUUAUUUUGGUUACUCACAAUAUCUGGAAACACACACUUUCAAAAACACGGAAAACACUCAAACUCAAAACACAAAACACACCCAAAGACAACAAAACUCAAACAUAAACACACAAAACUCAAACUCUACAAAAAAAAAAUCACAUCACACGCAACAAAACUGUAAACGUACUCAAACGAAACAAAUCUCAUAAUCAACAUAACAUAAGAAAUAAAAUACAGCACAACACAAAACUAGAGACAUGAAAGAACAAAAAAAAACAAUCAAUAUCUUUUUUUCUUUAUAGUUAAAAACUUUGUGAUUCUGUUGCUAAGUCAAUUUCAGGGGAAGUUUCUUUCUCUUUUUUUUUAGUCUUUUACAACUAUUAAUCAUUUUUUG